rnacentral:rRNA from 1 species
ACGAACGCUGGCGGCGUGCUUAACACAUGCAAGUCGAACGGAAAGGCCCUGCUUUUGUGGGGUGCUCGAGUGGCGAACGGGUGAGUAACACGUGAGUAACCUGCCCUUGACUUUGGGAUAACUUCAGGAAACUGGGGCUAAUACCGGAUAGGAGCUCCUGCUGCAUGGUGGGGGUUGGAAAGUUUCGGCGGUUGGGGCUGGACUCGCGGCUUAUCAGCUUGUUGGUGGGGUAGUGGCUUACCAAGGCUUUGACGGGUAGCCGGCCUGAGAGGGUGACCGGCCACAUUGGGACUGAGAUACGGCCCAGACUCCUACGGGAGGCAGAAGUGGGGAAUAUUGCACAAUGGGCGGAAGCCUGAUGCAGCAACGCCGCGUGCGGGAUGACGGCCUUCGGGUUGUAAACCGCUUUCGCCUGUGACGAAGCGUGAGUGACGGUAAUGGGUAAAGAAGCACCGGCUAACUACGUG